rnacentral:lncRNA from 1 species
GCUGUUUUGACAUCCAUCUGUUCAAGCUCUAGAUUCAGACUGGCUACUAAUUCAAGGAUAACUCGAAUUGAGGCCAUUUUUACAACAGGUGAAAAAAUCUCGUUAAAGUCAACUCCCUUCUUCUGAAGAAAUUCUUUGACUACCAAACGGACUUUAUGUUUUACCACCUUUCCGCUGCCAUCUUUCUUGAGCUUGAAAACCCAUUUAUUCCUUAAUGUCUUCUUUCCCUUCGGAAGCUCAACUAACUCAUAUGCUUGAUUUUUCUGUAGUAACUCCAUCUCAUCCUGCAUUGCUUGUAUCCACUUGUCUUUGUCCACGAGUUUGUGCUUCCUGAAAGCUCUCUGGCUCUCCUUUGUUAGUGAGCAAAAGGUAGUCUGAUUCUGGAUAUCUUGUUGAUGGAAUCCGUCCUCGUUCAGAUCUUCUUACCUGUGGAUCGUUGAUUUCAGGAGGUGCAUCAUCAUCUGGCUGAUGUGAUGGUCCAACAACUUCUGGUGAAGAGGAUUGUGACUCCCCCUUAUCAAUAUCCCUUUCUUCAUCCUCCUGUUCCGCUUCCGGCAUUUCCUCAUGCACAUCAUCGUUAUCUAUGGUGAAUUGUGUUGGUGCUGGAUCUGGAGCAAUAUUUUGGGCACCAAAAUUGGAAUUAGG